GACGAACGCUGGCGGCGUGCUUAACACAUGCAAGUCGAGCGAGCGGCGGACGGGUGAGUAAUGUCUGGGAAACUGCCUGAUGGAGGGGGAUAAAUACUGGAAACGGUAGCUAAUACCGCAUACCAUCGGAUGUGCCCAGUUGGGAUUAGCUAGUAGGUGGGGUAACGGCUCACCUAGGCGCCGAUCCCUAGCUGGUCUGAGAGGAUGACCAGCCAAACUGAAACUGAGACACGGUCCGGAAUCCUACGGGAGGCAGCAGUGGGGAAUAUGGCACAAUGGGCGAAAGCCUGAUGCAGCCAUGCCGCGUGUAUGAAGAAGGCCUUCGGGUUGUAAAGUACUUUCAGCAAGGAGGCGUUACUCGCAGAAGAAGCACCGGCUAACUCCGUGCCAGCCGCCGCGGUAAUAC
rnacentral:rRNA from 1 species